rnacentral:rRNA from 1 species
AAACCAACAAGCUUGCUUGUUGGGGUUGUAGGACACUCUAUACGGAGUUACAAAGGACGACAUUAGACGAAUCAUCUGGAAAGAUGAAUCAAAGAAGGUAAUAAUCCUGUAGUCGAAAAUGUUGUCUCUCUUGAGUGGAUCCUGAGUACGACGGAGCACGUGAAAUUCCGUUGGAAUCUGGGAGGACCAUCUCCUAAGGCUAAAUACUCUCUAGUGACCGAUAGUGAACCAGUACCGUGAGGGAAAGGUGAAAAGCACCCCGGAAGGGGAGUGAAAUAGAACCUGAAACCGUGUGCUUACAAGUAGUCAGAGCCCGUUAAUGGGUGAUGGCGUGCCUUUUGUAGAAUGAACCGGCGAUUACGAUUUGA